rnacentral:rRNA from 1 species
UGGAAGUAAAUGUCGUAUGUUAUGUUUCCGUAGGUGAACCUGCGGAAGGAUCAUUACCGAGUGCGGGUCCUUUGGGCCCAACCUCCCAUCCGUGUCUAUUAUACCCUGUUGCUUCGGCGGGCCCGCCGCUUGUCGGCCGCCGGGGGGGCGCCUUUGCCCCCCGGGCCCGUGCCCGCCGGAGACCCCAACACGAACACUGUCUGAAAGCGUGCAGUCUGAGUUGAUUGAAUGCAAUCAGUUAAAACUUUCAACAAUGGAUCUCUUGGUUCCGGCAUCGAUGAAGAACGCAGCGAAAUGCGAUAACUAAUGUGAAUUGCAGAAUUCAGUGAAUCAUCGAGUCUUUGAACGCACAUUGCGCCCCCUGGUAUUCCGGGGGGCAUGCCUGUCCGAGCGUCAUUGCUGCCCUCAAGCCCGGCUUGUGUGUUGGGUCGCCGUCCCCCUCUCCGGGGGGACGGGCCCGAAAGGCAGCGGCGGCACCGCGUCCGAUCCUCGAGCGUAUGGGGCUUUGUCACAUGCUCUGUAGGAUUGGCCGGCGCCUGCCGACGUUUUCCAACCAUUUCCAGGUGACCUCGAUCAGUAGGUC